AGUGAACGCUGGCGGUAGGCCUAACACAUGCAAGUCGAACGGCAGCACAGUAAGAGCUUGCUCUUACGGGUGGCGAGUGGCGGACGGGUGAGGAAUACAUCGGAAUCUACUUUUUCGUGGGGGCUAACGUCGGGAAACUUACGCUAAUACCGCAUACGACCUACGGGUGAAAGCAGGGGAUCUUCGGACCUUGCGCGAUUGAAUGAGCCGAUGUCGGAUUAGCUAGUUGGCGGGGUAAAGGCCCACCAAGGCGACGAUCCGUAGCUGGUCUGAGAGGAUGAUCAGCCACACUGGAACUGAGACACGGUCCAGACUCCUACGGGAGGCAGCAGUGGGGAAUAUUGGACAAGGGGCGAAAGCCUGAUCCAGCCAUACCGCGUGGGUGAAGAAGGCCUUCGGGUUGUAAAGCCCUUUUGUUGGGAAAGAAAAGCAGCAGGUUAAUACCCCGCUGUUCUGACGGUACCCAAAGAAUAAGCACCGGCUAACUUCGUG
rnacentral:rRNA from 1 species